AAUGAUAAUCUCAUUGACGUAUUUUUCUUAUAAGUAGCAAAAGAAAACUUUGAUUAGCCUCAUUUUCAUUGUAGCCUUUCAAGCAUUCCUAAGAAUUUUCUCUCUCUAUGUUCUUAAGCUUCACCAAAAAUGCAUCCAUCUCACUAGAAAUCUCAACCCAUCUUCAUUCUAAAUAGCGAAUCAUAAAAAAUCCACCCCUAAAAUCACCAACUCUUCCAAAUUGCUGAAAAGGAAGGAGGAUCUUCAUUCACCCUGCCCCAUAAAAAGGCAUUCACCACAAAACUCGCCUCUUCUUACUGAAAAUCAAACACACCCUCCUCGCAAAGUACUAGACCUAAGUGCUCUGCGCGGAAGGAAAUCGCCAAGUCCAAACCUAUAGAAAACCCCCAGCCAUGCAUUCUGAUAGACCUGCUUCAGAAUAAGUUCAAUACCCAUUAGAGUACAGCCAAGACCCAAUCGCAUCUAGCGAUUUAAGAAGGAAGGAGGAAGAAGAUAUCUUUGUGAACCUGAGCGAUUUAGAUAGCGUAAAAGGAAUAGAAGGAAGAGGAAAGACAGUGAACUAGCCCUCCCAACACUAUAAUAAAUAGGCCUUUUAAUUGUUCUUAGGGAUAGCCCAUUUUAAAUAAGAUAUUAAAAGUUUGGGAGAAAAUAAAUAUUAAUAAAUAAAAAGUAAAAAAUCCCCCCCCCCCCCCCCAUUUUUGAUUGCGCCUUUGUCUUCUAUUGUAUUCAUUUUGGCUCUCACACACUGAAACAGCCCCUCCACACACAUUGAAACCUUUGCCACUGACCGCGCAUGAUCGACGACUCUGGUUUGCCUCCAUUGUCGUCAACAACGUCAGGCCACCCUAAAGGAACCCCCGCAUGCGAAGUCACCAUUUUGGAAACUCCAUCCGUCUGAAACUCUCACCCCCAUUCGAAAAAUCCCAUUCAACUCCCCUGCCCCCCCCCCACACACAUCGAAACCCCCUACCGUUAACCACGCACGACUCCGUUUGCCUCCAUUGUCGCCAAUGAUCUCUCUGCUUACUACAACAAGACAAAUAUCUUGCUAUUUUUUAGUGUUUUAUUUUAGUGUUCCUUUUUUUUUUCUGACUACUCUUGAAGUUUACCUUCUACUUAAAAGUUGUGGAUCUGUAGUUGACUUUUAUUUCUCUUGGUGUUUUUGUAAUGUUAAAGAAUUUGGUACUCUUUGUGUUUUAGUGAUUUCCCAAUGUCAGAAUAACCAUGAAUGAAAGAAAAAAAAUAAGAAUGUUAGUUGUUGGUUGGUCGUAUGUAGUUUUUAAGGUUUCUGGUCUAUGUUUAUGUAGACAUAUAUAAGUAUCAUAAGCCCGAAAGAGAUCAAUAAAACUAAAUCGAUGUUUUAAGUUCUUCUUGGUUACCCACGCUAAGACUCAACAACAAAUGAAUUAUUAUCAUUUUCAGGGUGGGACAUCCUUAGUCCCAAUUUUUCAAAGGUAGAUGAGUUUUUGUUGGUUAUCUGGUUCCCUUGCCCAGUUUGAUGAAAUUUUCCAUUCUUUCAUCAGCUCUUAGUCUGUAUCCUCUUUAUUUUUAAACUUCAAACAAAUAAUUACUUGUUUCCCGUUUCAACCCAUCCAAGUGAUUUGUUCACAUAUAAUGAUGCAUUUUUAUUUACCUAUACUUCUUCAGUUUUGAAAUGUUCUGCUCGAUAUAAAUCUUAUAACAUAAUAUACUUGACUUUAAGGAAUUAGGAUUUAGACUUAAGGAUAGGUUUGCAUUCAAAUCCCAGGCUUUAGGACUUGAAAAUUGAAAUGCAAGAAAAAGAAAUAGUGGCUUUAGUUCCAAAUUUCAAUCUUCUAAAACUUAACACCCUUUCUAAAGCACAGAGGAAGAAAAUGGUCGCAUUAUGGACUAUAUUUUUUAAGUUUUGGAGUAUGUUAUUUAGUGAAAGAAUUUUCAACACAAUAUUGUUGUUCUGAUCUUUCUUGGGCGUUUCUUGAGAGUCACAAUCCUUUACACUGUGAUGGAAAAUAAUUGUAAGCGCUUGAAACAUAAUACAUUCUGCCUCGAAAAAAUUUGAGGGCCUAGAACGGUCAUAACUUCAAUCUAUUGCUAUUCAUGUGGUAGAAAGGUUUUGCAUCUUAACAUCUAUGAGAUCUUUUCAUAGAAUCACAGCUUUGAAUCUCAAGGAUAUUCAAAUUGAUUGUUUGCCUCCAUCUUACCUACUGCACUAUUUUAAUGUAAUUUGGUCAUUUUUUCUUUAUUUUGUUGAUACUCUAUAGGUUGCUUUUGCUUAGUUUGAGCUUAAGAGGAAAUCAUUUUCCUUUAUAUUUCUGAUCUUUUUUUGGUGCGCGGUUUUAAAUAUGAACAAUUUUAUGUUUAUAUUCUUGAACUUUGAAUUAUCUAAUAAAUGUCAAAUUGUUAUUCGUCGAGAGCAUACUAGCUUAGAGACCUUUAAAGAUGUGGAAAAGAAGGGGAUUGUGAAAUAGGAAACAUUUAAAGAUGUUUUUGUUAGUUGUUAGUUUACGAUGUGUUAAUGUUUAUUAUGAUUUUUUCAGAAACAUUGGUAGUUACCAAUGUAAAAAUAAUUGAUUACAUUUUUAUAUUUACGCAUUUAUGUAAUUUAGGAGCGUAUCAACGAAAUUGAAAAUAAAGGGAUAAACACUUCUUCAAAAGAUGUGGCAAGCGAUGCAAUAAGUAAGGUUCUUGGUCAUGACUAGGGUCAUAUUAGAGCAUUUGGAUUUGGAGUCACCACAUCAAAGUUUUCUUUAUUGUCUUAAAAAGAUCACCAUUAUGCCAAACUCGAAGAAAAGUGUGAGAAGAUGGAGGUUGAAAUGCUCAAAUGAGAUUUCAAUACCUCACCUUCUUACAUCACAAGUAAGAAGUUUCAUAGCAUACGUUAACAUAGGUUUAUAUUCUUUAUUUCUAAUUGUUUAACUUGUAUACAUUAUUUUCUAUUUUCUAACUUUAGGGUAAUGGAAGCGAUCAACUUUCUAUUGCUAUAAAUGAUUUAGUGGUUAUCAAUGUUGCUACUAACCUGAUUGGAAUUUCACCUCCAAUAAGAUUGGGGUGGUACGAGAGAGGUGGUUGCUGAAAGUCGAUGGUCCUCAAAUGAUCCUAAAGUUACUGUUGACCAUGUUCCUCUCGGUCCACAUGCUGUUAAAGUUUGGGUGGACUUGCCAAAAAAGUCAAAUGCAUUUUUAUGGAGACCUAACUCAUUGAUGACAUACAUUAAGGAUGUUGUUGGAAGCACAGUAGCAUGGCCUCCUGACAAAGUUAUUUUAAGUUGAUAAAAGAACAAUUGUACAAAUCUCAAGAAUGUCAUUACCAAGACACAACAAGCUUAACUAUUUAGAUUUA